GAAGCUGGAAUCGCUAGUAAUCGCGAAUCAGAAUGUCGCGGUGAAUACGUUCCCGGGUCUUGUACACACCGCCCGUCACACCAUGGGAGUUGGUAACGCCCGAAGUCAGUGACCCAACCUUAGGGAGGGAGCUGCCGAAGGCGGGACUGAUAACUGGGGUGAAGUCGUAACAAGGUAAC
rnacentral:rRNA from 1 species